rnacentral:rRNA from 1 species
GAUGAACGCUAGCGGCAGGCUUAACACAUGCAAGUCGAGGGGUAGAGGCUUUCGGGCCUUGAGACCGGCGCACGGGUGCGUAACGCGUAUGCAAUCUGCCUUGUACUGGGGGAUAGCCCAGAGAAAUUUGGAUUAAUACCCCAUAGUAUUUUCGGUUGGCAUCAACUGAUUAUUAAAGUUUUUCGGUACAAGAUGAGCAUGCGUCCCAUUAGCUAGUUGGUAUGGUAACGGCAUACCAAGGCUACGAUGGGUAGGGGUCCUGAGAGGGAGAUCCCCCACACUGGUACUCAGGCACGGACCAGACUCCUACGGUAGGCAGCAGUGAGGAAUAUUGGUCAAUGGUCGCAAGGCUGAACCAGCCAUGCCGCGUGCAGGAUGAAGCAUCUAUGGUGUGUAAACUGCUUUUGUACGGGAAGAAACACUGCUACGUGUAGCAGCUUGACGGUACCGUAAGAAUAAGGAUCGGCUAACUCCGUGCCAGCCGCCGCGGUAAGAC